GAUGAACGCUGGCGGCGUGCCUAAUACAUGCAAGUCGAGCGGACGGACGAGACGCUUGCUUCUCUGAUGUUAGCGGCGGACGGGUGAGUAACACGUGGAUCACCUACCUAUAAGACUGGGAUAACUUCGGGAAACCGUAGCUAAUACCGGAUAAUAUUUUGCACCGCAUGGUUCAAAAGUGAAAGACGGUCUUGCUGUCACUUCUCGAUGGAUCCGCGCUGCGUGAGCUAGUUGGUAAGGUAACGGCUUACCACGGCGACGCUGCAUAGCCGACCUGAGGGCGGGAAGGGCGACACUGGAGCUGAGAGGCGGCCCAGACACCGACGGGAGGCAGCGGUAGGUAAGGUAGCGCACUGGGCGAAAGACUGACGGAGCAACGGCGCCUGGGUGAUGAAGGGCUGCGUAUGGUAAAACGCUGUUCUUAGGGAAGAACACUUGUGCAAGUAACUGUGCGCAUCUUGACGGUACCUAAUCAGAGAGCCACGGCUAACUACGG
rnacentral:rRNA from 1 species